UGUUCAAGCCUGUCGAAACCUGUUAGAGGACAAAACCUGUGUGAAUGUAAGUUCUUGAUAGAGUGAAAUGUUCAUAUUCAUCCUCAGGAUUUGCCGUCCACCAGUAAGUGAUAAAGGACUAAAAUCAGCAAGUUGGAGACAGACAAGAGGGAGAUGGUCAGUGUCUUUGGUAAAACUGGGGCUGGAAAAAGCUCUCUGAUAAAUGCUGUCAGUGGACGGAAGAAUCUCUUGCCCUCUGGAAGCAUCAAUGCAUGUACCUCAGUCAUGAUUAAAGUGGAGGCAAACAUGCAGAAGAAAUAUGAGGCAGACAUUGAGUUCAUUACAAAAGAGGAGUGGAAAGAUGAGUUGUGGUUCUUGUUGAAUUUCCUUGGAGAUAAUGAACCUCAGGAAAAGGACAACGAUGAU